rnacentral:rRNA from 1 species
AACGAACGCUGGCGGCAUGCCUAACACAUGCAAGUCGAACGAGACCUUCGGGUCUAGUGGCGCACGGGUGCGUAACGCGUGGGAACCUUCCCUUAUGGUCGGAAUAACUCCCCGAAUGGGGUGCUAAUACCGGAUAAUGUCUUCGGACCAAAGAUUUAUCGCGUUUGGAUGUGCCCGCGUUGGAUUAGCUAGUUGGUAGGGUAAAAGCCUACCAAGGCGACGAUCCAUAGCUGGUCUGAGAGGAUGAUCAGCCACACUGGGACUGAGACACGGCCGAGACUCCUACGGGAGGCAGCAGUGGGGAAUAUUGGACAAUGGGGGAAAGCAUGAUCCAGCAAUGCCGCGUGAGUGAUGAAGGCCUUAGGGUUGUAAAGCUCUUUUACCCGGGAUGAUAAUGACAGUACCGGGAGAAUAAGCUACGGCUAACUACGUG